UACGUAGGGUCCGAGCGUUGUCCGGAAUUACUGGGCGUAAAGAGCUCGUAGGUGGUUUGUCGCGUUGUUCGUGAAAACUCACAGCUCAACUGUGGGCGUGCGGGCGAUACGGGCAGACUAGAGUACUGCAGGGGAGACUGGAAUUCCUGGUGUAGCGGUGGAAUGCGCAGAUAUCAGGAGGAACACCGGUGGCGAAGGCGGGUCUCUGGGCAGUAACUGACGCUGAGGAGCGAAAGCGUGGGUAGCGAACAGG
rnacentral:rRNA from 1 species